GCCAGGCAUUGUGGCGAGCGCCUGUUGUCCCAGCUUCUUGGGAGGCUGAGGCAAGAGAAUAGCCUAAGCCCAGGAGCUGGAGGUUGCUGUGAGCUGUGAUGCCACAGCACUCUACCAAGGGCAACAAAGCAAGACUCUGUCUCUAAAAAAAAAAAAAAAAAAGAUAUUUCCACUUUAUUUAUUUAUUUAUUUUAAGAGACAGAGUCUUACUUUAUCACCUUUGGUAGAAUGCUGUGGCAUCACAGCUCAUAGCAACCUCCAGCUUUUGGGCUUAGGGGAUUCUCUUGUCUCAG
rnacentral:SRP_RNA from 1 species